UACAGAGGGUGCAAGCGUUAAUCGGAUUUACUGGGCGUAAAGGGCGCGUAGGUGGUUGUUUAAGUGAACUGUGAAAUCCCCGGGCUCAACCUGGGAAUGGCAAUGGAUACUGGACGGCUAGAGUGUGUCAGAGGAUGGUGGAAUUUCCGGUGUAGCGGUGAAAUGCGUAGAUAUCGGGAGGAACACCUGUGGCGAAGGCGGUUCUCUGGGCCUGUUCUGACGCUGAGGAGCGAAAGCGUGGGGAGCGAACAGG
rnacentral:rRNA from 1 species